rnacentral:rRNA from 1 species
ACUCAAUAGAUACCCCGGUAGUCCUGGCUGUAAACGGUGUGCGCUAGGUGUGCGCGGAUUCGACCCCGUGCGUGCCGAAAGGUAAACCCAUUAAGCGCACCGCCUGGGGAGUACGGUCGCAAGAUUAAAACUCAAAGAAAUUGACGGGGGCCCGCACAAGCGGUGGAGUAUGUGGCUUAAAUUCGAUGCAACGCGAAGAACCUUACCUGGGCUUGACAUGUUACUGGUAGGACCCUGAAAGGGGGACGACCUCGCAAGAGGAGGUAACACAGGUGCUGCAUGGCUGUCGUCAGCUCGUGCCGUGAGAUGUUGGGUUAAGUCCCGCAACGAGCGCAACCCCUAUAACUAGUUGCUUUAGCACUCUAGUCAGACUGCCCUGUGAAACGGGGAGGAAGGUGGGGAUGACGUCAAGUCAGGAUGGCCCUUACGCCCAGGGCUGCACACGUACUACAAUGCUCAGUACAGAGGGUUGCGAUACCGCGAGGUGGAGCUAGUCCCAUAAAACUGAGCCCAGUUCGGAUUGGAGGCUGCAACUCGCCUCC